rnacentral:sRNA from 1 species
GGGGGUGUACCGGUUUCGACUGGGAUGCUGUAGGUCUUGGAUUGCAGGUGGAGUUCCGACCUCCUGAUUCGGAAAAAACUAUAACUGCCGAAAACAACGACAGUUUUGCAAUGGCUGCUUAGUCAGUCUGCACGGAGACUGGUUUGUUAUGCUCUGGACAUUCCAAAUCUCUGACGCCAAUCAGAGCUUGCUUUCCGGGGUGUCUGGUAUCCGGAGGGGACUUUUUAUCAGAAUAAGGAGCCGACGCUUGCGGUGCUGCUACCGGUUCCCGACAAUCACCUCGCACCGAUAAACCUGUAGAUGUCCCUGAUCACCUUUUCAGGACGGGGGUUCGAUUCCCCCCAUCUCCA